rnacentral:rRNA from 1 species
UGGGGAAUAUUGCACAAUGGGCGAAAGCCUGAUGCAGCAACGCCGCGUGAGUGAUGAAGGUCUUCGGAUUGUAAAGCUCUGUCUUUUGGGACGAUAGUGACGGUACCAAAGGAGGAAGCCACGGCUAACUACGUGCCAGCAGCCGCGGUAAUACGUAGGUGGCGAGCGUUGUCCGGAUUUACUGGGCGUAAAGGGUGCGUAGGCGGAUGUUUAAGUGAGAUGUGAAAUACCCGGGCUUAACUUGGGUGCUGCAUUUCAAACUGGAUAUCUAGAGUGCAGGAGAGGAGAAUGGAAUUCCUAGUGUAGCGGUGAAAUGCGUAGAGAUUAGGAAGAACACCAGUGGCGAAGGCGAUUCUCUGGACUGUAACUGACGCUGAGGCACGAAAGCGUGGGUAGCAAACAGGAUUAGAUACCCUGGUAGUCCACGCCGUAAACGAUGAGUACUAGGUGUAGGAGGUAUCGACCCCUUCUGUGCCGCAGUAAACGCAUUAAGUACUCCGCCUGGGAAGUACGAUCGCAAGAUUAAAACUCUAAAGUGAAUUGAC